rnacentral:rRNA from 1 species
CCUACGGGGGGCUGCAGUGGGGAAUAUUGGACAAUGGGGGCAACCCUGAUCCAGCCAUGCCGCGUGUGUGAAGAAGGCCCUCGGGUUGUAAAGCACUUUCAGUGAGGAAGAACGCCUGGUGGUUAAUACCCAUCAGGAAAGACAUCACUCACAGAAGAAGCACCGGCUAACUCCGUGCCAGCAGCCGCGGUAAUACGGAGGGUGCGAGCGUUAAUCGGAAUUACUGGGCGUAAAGCGCGCGUAGGUGGCUUGAUAAGCCGGUUGUGAAAUCCCCGGGCUCAACCUGGGAACGGCAUCCGGAACUGUCAAGCUAGAGUGCAGGAGAGGAAGGUAGAAUUCCCGGUGUAGCGGUGAAAUGCGUAGAGAUCGGGAGGAAUACCAGUGGCGAAGGCGGCCUUCUGGACUGACACUGACACUGAGGUGCGAAAGCGUGGGUAGCAAACAGGAUUAGAUACCCGUGUAGUC